rnacentral:rRNA from 1 species
GACGAACGCUGGCGGCGUGCCUAAUACAUGCAAGUAGAACGCACAGUUUAUACCGUAGCUUGCUCCACCAUAAACUGUGAGUUGCGAACGGGUGAGUAACGCGUAGGGAACCUGCCUGGUAGCGGGGGAUAACUAUUGGAAACGAUAGCUAAUACCGCAUAAUAUUGAUUAUUGCAUGAUAAUUGAUUGAAAGAUGCUAUUGCAUCACUACCAGAUGGACCUGCGUUGUAUUAGCCAGUAGGUGAGGUAACGGCUCACCUAGGCGACGAUACAUAGCCGACCUGAGAGGGUGAUCGGCCACACUGGGACUGAGACACGGCCCAGACUCCUACGGGAGGCAGCAGUAGGGAAUCUUCGGCAAUGGACGAAAGUCUGACCGAGCAACGCCGCGUGAGUGAAGAAGGUUUUCGGAUCGUAAAGCUCUGUUGUAAGAGAAGAACGGGUGUGAGAGUGGAAAGUUCACACUGUGACGGUAUCUUACCAGAAAGGGACGGCUAACUACGUG